rnacentral:rRNA from 1 species
UACGAAGGGGGGCUAGCGUUGCUCGGAAUGACUGGGCGUAAAGGGCGCGUAGGCGGAUGGCACAGUCAGAUGUGAAAUUCCCGGGCUUAACCUGGGGGGCUGCAUUUGAUACGUGUGAUCUAGAGUGAGAAAGAGGGUCGUGGAAUUCCCAGUGUAGAGGUGAAAUUCGUAGAUAUUGGGAAGAACACCCGUGGCGAAGCGGCCCACUGGGCCGGUACUGACGCUGAGACGCGAAAGCGUGGGGAGCGAACAGG